rnacentral:rRNA from 1 species
AGCGAACGCUGGCGGCAGGCCUAACACAUGCAAGUCGAGCGCCGUAGCAAUACGGAGCGGCAGACGGGAGAGUAACACGUGGGAACGUGCCCUUCAGUUCGGAACAACCCAGGGAAACUUGGGCUAAUACCGGAUACGCCCUUACGGGGAAAGAUUUAUCGCUGAAGGAUCGGCCCGCGUCUGAUUAGCUUGUUGGUGAGGUAACGGCUCACCAAGGCUACGAUCAGUAGCUGGGCUGAGAGGAUGAUCAGCCUCACUGGGACUGAGACCCGGCCCAGACUCCUACGGGAGGCAGCAGUGGGGAAUAUUGGACAAUGGGCGCAAGCCUGAUCCAGCCAUGCCGCGUGAGUGAUGAAGGCCUUAGGGUUGUAAAGCUCUUUCGGCGGGGAAGAUAAUGACGGUACCCGCAGAAGAAGCCCCGGCUAACUUCGUGCCAGCCGCCGCAGUAACAC